CCCAAGGUAAGGAAUAACGUCGAGAAUCGGCGCUAUACCUCAUAAUGCAGCGGAUCCGCAUGGAUAUGUUGUUAAAGGUUUACCGCCUUGGGAUAGGCUUGCGUCUGAUUAGCUAGUUGGUGUGGUAACGGCACACCAAGGCUACGAUCAGUAACUGGUCUGAGAGGAUGAUCAGUCACACUGGAACUGAGACACGGUCCAGACUCCUACGGGAGGCAGCAGUGAGGAAUAUUGGGCAAUGCUCGAAAGAGUGACCCAGCAACGCCGCGUGGAGGAUGAAGGUAUUCUAUAUCGUAAACUCCUGUGAGAGCAGACGAAAGACAGAUUAUUAAUCUGGAUGACUGUAUGCUCAGAGGAAGCCCCGGCUAACUACGUG
rnacentral:rRNA from 1 species